UGAAUUUACCAUGUAGUGAGUGAGGAUGAGUUUGAUUUUAUUCUAGGAGAAUUGGUUAAGGAAUAAUGAAUUAUGAGCCUAGAAAAAUAAUGGGAAUUUUCGGAGCAAAAAUACGAAUUUUUACCCACUAGGGGUAUUUUCGUAAUUUACUGUUGGGACUGAUAAUUUGCACCACACUGAGGGACAUUAAGUUAAUUUGGGUGCAAUUGAGGUAUAGAAACUGAAAAGAAUUAAAUUGGAGUUUAAACGGACCCGUUAGGAAUUUAAUCGGGUGAUAAGACGAAUUAGGCCAAUACCGGGUUUAGAUAGUUACCAGUGCAUUUUUGCAUUCCAUAUCAUGCAUUGGUAGUCUAAAUUAGUUUAAUUUUGAUUUAGUACCAACUUGGUGAAACUCUCGAUUUUGUACUGUGUCAAGGUGGUGAGUCCUCCGAUAAAGGCAAGGAAAUUGCAUCCGAGGACCAGUAGACAGAGUGCUUCGAAAGUCUGCAUUCUAGACAUUGU
rnacentral:lncRNA from 1 species